CAAUAGCGUAUAUUAAAGUUGUUGCAGUUAAAAAGCUCGUAGUUGGAUUUCUGAUCGAGACAUAAGGUCGGGUCCGAGAGGAUCAUGUACUUUGAUUUUGUUUUGAUCAUCCUUGGGGAGAGCAUUUCUGGCAUUCAGUUGUCGGGAUUGGGAUCCUCAUCGUUUACUGUGAAAAAAUUAGAGUGUUCAAAGCAGGCCUCGGCCUCUGAAUACAUUAGCAUGGAAUAAUAAGAUAGGACUUUGGUGGUCUAUUUUGUUGGUUUGCACGCCAAAGUAAUGAUUAAUAGGGAUAGUUGGGGGUAUUCGUAUUCAAUUGUCAGAGGUGAAAUUCUUGGAUUUAUGGAAGACGAACUACUGCGAAAGCAUUUACCAAGGAUGUUUUCAUUAA
rnacentral:rRNA from 1 species